rfam:Stegodyphus mimosarum contig98069, whole genome shotgun sequence.
GCCUUCGUGGUGUAAUGGUCAGAACACUCAGCCGGUAUUUCAGAGGUCCGUGGUUCGAUCCCCGGCGAAGGCA